CAGCCCUGGCAUAUCUAUUCACACCAUGCCCGAAUGUCGUUUGAAGGUGACCCAUCAAAGUCCAGAGCAACAUGCAACUACUGGCAGCUAAGUGUCUCCAUCUCAAAACAAUCCCAGACCACAGGACUUGCCAGUUGGAGCGGGCCCAUUCCUCCCAGUAAGGUGGCCGGAAAAUUGUCACAGUGGUUUGUUCAGAUCGGAGGGUGACACUUGAAAACAGAUCAGUGAAUCACACAACAAUGACCCGCGCUCACCGUUGCCAUGAUAAAAAAUAAUGACAUGUGGGCGGUGGGGAAAUUGCCUAAUAUGCUCAGAAUUUCCAGAUGUCUCAAGAAGGAUUGUGAAAGAGAAGCUUAGCUAGUCUCUGUAUAAACAACGUGACCUCAACCCCCAUUGUGUGCACAAUACUUUCCUGUUCAGAAUAAAACAUUGUUCUUCA